GGGGCAGUCUUUGGAUGGUCCUUCCUUCCAUCUCAGCUCCAAACUUUGACUCUGUAACUCCUUCCAUGGGCAUUUUGUUCCCCAUUCUAAGAAGGAAUGAAGUAUCCACACUUUGGUCUUCCUUCUUCUUGAGUUUCAUGUGUUUUGCAAAUUGUAUCUUGAGUAUCCUAGGUUUCUGGGCUAAUAUCCACUUAUCAGUGAGUGCAUAUCAUGUGUGUUCUUUUGUGACUGGAUGAUAUCCUCCAGAUUCAUCCAUUUGCCUAAGAAUUUCAUAAAUUCAUUGUUUUUUUAAUAGUUGAGUAGUACUCCAUUGUGUAAAUGUACCACAUUUUCUGUAUCCAUUCCUCUGUUGAGGGACAUCUGGGUUCUUUCCAGCUUCUGGCUAUCAUAAAUAAGGCUGCUAUGAACAUAGUGGAGCAUGUGUCCUUCUUACCAGUUGGAACCUCUUCUGGGAAUGUGCCCAAGAGAGGUAUUGCUGGAUCUUCCGGUCCAAUCUAUGUCCAAUUUCUGAGGAACCACCAGACUGAUUUCCAGAGUGAUUGUACCAGCUUGCAAUCCCACCAGCAGUGGAAGAGUGUUCCUCUUUCUCCACAUCCUUGCGAGCAUCUGCUGUCACCUGAAUUUUUUAUUUUAGCCAUUCUGAUGGGUAUGAGGUGGAAUCUCGGGGUUGUUUUCACUUGCAUUUUCCUGAUGAUUAAGGAUGUUGAACAUUUUUUUAGGUGCUUCUCAGCAUUUGGUAUUCCUCAGUUGAGAAUUCUUUGUUUAGCUCUGUACCCAUUUUUUAAUAGGGUUAUUUGAUUUUCUGGAGUCCACCUUCUUGAAUUUUUUGUAUAUAUUGGAUAUUAGUCCCCUAUCAGAUUUAGGAUUGGUAAAGAUCCUUUCCCAAUCUGUUGGUGGUCUUUUUGUCUUGACAGUGUCUUUUGCUUUAUAGAAGCUUUGCAAUUUUAUGAGGUCCCAUUUGUAUUACGGAAAAGUAAUUGUUGCUUCCUGUUAUUUUUGUUGUUAGAGUUGGGAUUCUGUUCUUGUGGCUAUUUUCUUUUUUUUUUUCUUUUCUCUCUCUCUCUCUCUCUCUCUCUCUCUCUCUCUCUCUCUCUCUCUCUCUCUCUUUCUCUUCUUUUUUUCAAGACAGGGUUUCUCUGUGUAGCCCUGGCUGUCCUGGAACUCACUCUGUAGACCAGGCUGGCCUCAAACUCAGAAAUCCGCCUGCCUCUGCCUCCAAAGUUCUGGGAGUAAAGGUGUGCGCCACCACUGCCUGGUGCGGCUAUCUUCUUUUAGGUUUCUUGAUUUACUUUCUUGCUUUUUCUAGGGUGUAAUUCCCCUCCUUGUGUUGGUGUUUUCCAUUUAUUAUCCUUUUGAAGGGCUGGAUUUGUGGAAAGAUAUUGUGUGAAUUUGGUUUUGUCAUGGAAUACUUUGGUUUCUCCAUCUAUGGUAAUUGAGAGUUUUGCUGGGUAUAAGCCUGGGCUGGCAUUUGUGUUCUUUUAGUGUCUAUAUAACAUCUGUCCAGGCUCUUCUGGCUUUCAUAGUCUCUGGUGAGAAGUUUGGUGUAAUUCUAAUAGGCCUGCCUUUAUAUGUUACUUGACCUUUCUCCCUUACUGCUUUUAACAUUCUAUCUUUAUUUAGUGCAUUUGUUGUUCUGAUUAUUAUGUGUCGGGAGGAAUUUCUUUUCUAGUCCAUCUGCUUGGAGUUCUGUAGGCUUCUCGUAUGUUCAUGGGCAUCUCUUUCUUUAGGUAUGGGAAGUUUUCUUCUAUAAUUUUAUUGAAGAUAUUUAUUGGCCCUUUAAGUUGAAAAUCUUCAUUCUUCUCAUCUAUUAUCCUUAGGUUUGGUCUUCUCACUGUGUCCUGGAUGUUGACCCUUCUACCUCUGCUUUCCAAAUAACACUGUGAUUACCUACAUGAUCCUGCAAACUGAGGGGUGGGGAGUGGGGCUCCAGUGCUUUCUAUUCUUCUCGUGUGUGUGUGUUUACCCCAUUUUUCUAUCAGCCUAGGGAAAAUCAAGUUUUACCCUCUCACUGUUUCACCUGCCCCAGAGGAUUUACAUGCUCAGAGAAAAGUCUGCGGAGGGAUUGAUCAAUCUCUGACUCUACACCUCUCCUCAGUGUACCUGACCAGUCCGAGCUGGCCUUUGACACUUGUCCCUUAGUAGCUAGCCAUCUUGAGCUAAUCUGGACUUCACCAAUUUGGCUACAUUAGCCUACCAUUGAGCCCUGAGCCCCGGAUAUCUCCUUGGCUCUGUCUUCUUGGUGUUGGGAUUAAGGUACUAUGCCAAGCGUUUAAAGUGGAUCCUGUGGAUAAACUUAGCUUCAAGAACACAGGUCCUUAUGCUGCGGAGCAUGUACUGUAGCGAUUGAACUAUCCCCCUGGCUUUGCAUGAAUUUAUAACUUAUAGAAAAUAAAUAUUUGCUGGGCGUGGUGGCACAUGCCUUUAAUCCCAGCACUCGGGAGGCAGAUGCCGGCAGAUUUCUGAGUUCAAGGCCUGCCUGGUCUACAAAGUGAGUUCCUGGACAGCCAGGGCUACACAGAGAAACCCUGUUC
rnacentral:lncRNA from 1 species